UCGAGGGCUUUACUGUCUCUUACUUCCAAKCUYGUGURAAUUGACCUUCCCGUGAAGAGGCGGGAAUAUGACAAUAAGACGAGAAGACCCUAUGGAGCUUUAAUUAACCGACCCAAAGAGAUCUUGAUAAUCAACCGACAGGGAUAACAUACCUCUACCAUGGGCCGACAAUUUAGGUUGGGGUGACCUCGGAGAAUAAAACAACCUCCGAGUGAUUUAAAUCUAGACUAACUAGUCGAAAGUACUACAUCACUUAUUGAUCCAAAAACUUGAUCAACGGAACAAGUUACCCUAGGGAUAACAGGCSCAAUYYUMUUUUAGAGUCCAUAUCGACAAUAGGAU
rnacentral:rRNA from 1 species